rnacentral:miRNA from 1 species
GGUAGAGGUACCUGCUCCGCCCUUGCUGCUGCAGUGGGUCAAGACGGAUCAGGCUCUCCUC